rnacentral:rRNA from 1 species
UGGGGGAUAUUGCGCAAUGGGGGGAACCCGUGACGCAGCAACGCCGCGUGAAGGAAGAAGGUUUUCGGAUUGUAAACUUCUUUAAGUGGGGAAGAUAGUGACGGUACCCACAGAAUAAGCCACGGCUAACUACGUGCCAGCAGCCGCGGUAAUACGUAGGUGGCGAGCGUUGUCCGGAUUUACUGGGUGUAAAGGGCGUGUAGGCGGGAUGGCAAGUCAGAUGUGAAAUACCGAGGCUUAACUUCGGGGCUGCAUUUGAAACUGUCGUUCUUGAGUGCCGGAGAGGAAAGCGGAAUUCCUAGUGUAGCGGUGAAAUGCGUAGAUAUUAGGAGGAACACCAGUGGCGAAGGCGGCUUUCUGGACGGUAACUGACGCUGAGGCGCGAAAGCGUGGGGAGCAAACAGGAUUAGAUACCCUGGUAGU